rnacentral:rRNA from 1 species
GGGGAUGAGGAAGGACAGUACCCUCAGAAUAAGUCUCGGCUAACUACGUGCCAGCAGCCGCGGUAACACGUAGGAGACUAGCGUUAUUCGGAUUUACUGGGCGUAAAGCGCGUGCAGGCGGUUCGGUAAGUUGGAUGUGAAAGCUCCCGGCUUAACUGGGAGAGGUCGUUCAAUACUGUCGAACUUGAGAGUGGUAGAGGGAGGUGGAAUUCCGGGUGUAGUGGUAAAAUGCGUAGAUAUCCGGAAGAACACCAGUGGCGAAAGCGGCCUCCUGGACCAUUUCUGACGCUCAGACGCGAAAGCUAGGGUAGCGAACGGGAUUAGAGACCCCGGUAGUCCUAGCCGUAAACGAUGUAGACUUGGCGUUGGAGGGGUUAAAUCCUUCAGUGCCGAAGCUAACGCGAUAAGUCUACCGCCUGGGGACUACGGCCGCAAGGUUAAAACUCAAAGGAAUUGACGGGGCCCCGCACAAGCAGCGGAGCGUGUGGUUUAAUUCGAUGAUACACGAAGAACCUUACCAGGGUUUGACAUGCUGGUAGUAGGGAUCCGAAAGGUGACCGACCCCUCGGGGAGCCAGCACAGGUGCUGCAUGGCUGUCGUCAGCUCGUGUCGUGAGAUGUUCGGUUAAGUCCGCUAACGAGCGCAACCCUUGCUGUGUGUUACAUGUGUCACACGGGACUGCCGGUCUUAAACCGGAGGAAGGUGGGGAUGAUGUCAAGUCCGCAUGGCCUUUAUUAUCCUGGGCUACACACACGCUACAAUGGCCGGUACAAUAGGUUGCGAAGCCGCGAGGCGGAGCCAAUCCUCAAAGCCGGCCUCAGUUCAGAUUGCAGGCUGCAACCCGCCUGCAUGAAGAUGGAG